CAGGAACCGGCUUGAGCAGAUUGGUGCAGCUGGUUUAAAUCCGUAGAUGUACCUUGGUUCCUUCCUUGAAAAACAUCCUAAAGUCACUAGAAUCCAUGAAAACGACAUGAUCGCCACACAGACUGUUCGAUUAUUCCCGUGGCAGUCCAGUAUCGAGGCACGCGCAACAUUGCGCCGUUUCGUACAGUCUAAGGUCCAUUUUUAGUGAAACAGGCUAUAGAUAUAAUAUUAUCCAGCGCGUUUCGGUGCCUACUUUUCAGAUCUCGUUGCUAGUUCACUAUGGAGCACCCCACUAUUCUGGUCUUUCUACUGCUACUGGGAGCGGCCAACACGAGAGCCGAAACUUGUUUGGAAACCAGCGUUCCAUUGAAGGCAAUGUGCGGAGUAGCAUUGGCGUCUGCACUGUUCUCGCUCUGGUCAGUAGCCACCCUUAUUCGUAUGUUUCGAAUUGAAAAGGUGCUGGAGGCGUACAUCAACCAUUGCAGCCUAGAUAAUAAGAGUCCAUUGGCCUAAGCUGACAUUGGAGAGAAGCUUGCUAAGGAAUUUUUCUUUUGACGUUUGCGAAAGUUUUAGAGCAGAUGUUUUCCGCUCUGAGCGAGGUGAUGUUUGGAGUAGCACGAAGACAAUUUCUUCGAAGUUUUUACUGCAAAAAACGUUUCUGCACUCCAUAGAAUAGGCACCUUAGGUUGUUAUGAUUACCUUACAUUAUGUGAACGUCCCUAAUAUGCCCUUUCUCUUGAUUCUUUUUUCCAAUUGCAGUAGAAUACACGCCGUGAGUAGCAUGCCUCAUCAUUGGUUCCUCUAUUACAACGACGCUAUACACAUCGCAAAUGAUAGUAAAUAUCUUAUUUCUUGUUAAAAAUUUGUAUUGUUUACAAUUUUGUCGUUAAGCCAUUUUCUAAAUAGCGCGAAAACCACAGCACACUGUAGCAUCUCUUUUCGGAUCCUGACAAUAUUGAAGGUGUUUCAUUAAUCAUUGUAUCCCUCUAACGGAGACAAGCUGUGAAAAAUGGUUUUGUUGGGAUU